CCUACGGGUGGCAGCAGUGAGGAAUAUUGCUCAAUGGGCGUAACCCUGAACCAGCCACGUCGCGUGGGGGAUGAAGGUUCUAUGGAUCUUAACCCUCUUUUAUAGGGGAAUUAAUUACGGUAUGUGUCCCGUAUUCACUGUCUAAUUCGGUUCCGGCACCGGCGGCACCACGGAGGGUGCAGGCGUUAUUCGGAUUUACUGGGCGUAAAGCGGGCGUAGGCGGUUUAGUAAGUCAGAGGUGAAAGUCUUUGGCUCAACCAUAGAAUUGCAGUUGAAACUGUUAGGCUUGAGUAUGUGCGAGGUAGGUGGAAUGCGUGGUGUAGCGGUAAAAUGCGUAGAGAUCACGCAGAAUACUGAUUGCGAAGGCGACCUGCCAGGACAUGACUGACGCUGAUGCGCGAAAGCGUGGGGAGCAAACAGGAUUAGAUACCCUGGUAGUC
rnacentral:rRNA from 1 species